UACCAGCUCUCCGAGUGGUAGGGAUGAUUAUUGGGCUUAAAGCGUCCGUAGCCGGCUUAGCAAGUCUCCUGUUAAAUUCAGCGACCUAAUCGUUGAGCCGCGGGAGAUACUACUAGGCUAGGAGGCGGGAGAGGUCGACGGUACUUCUGGGGUAGGGGUGAAAUCCUAUAAUCCCGGGAGGACCACCAGUGGCGAAGGCUGUCGACUAGAACGCGCUCGACGGUGAGGGGCGAAAGCUGGGGGAGCGAACCGGAUUAGAUACCCGGGUAGUCCCAGCUGUAAACGAUGCGGGCUAGGUGUUGGGGUGGCUACGUGCCACUUCAGUGCCGCAGGGAAGCCAUUAAGCCCGCCGCCUGGGGAGUACGGCCGCAAGGCUGAAACUUAAAGGAAUUGGCGGGGGAGCACCACAAGGCGUGAAGCUUGCGGUUC
rnacentral:rRNA from 1 species